GGGGUGUAACCCUUGCGGUUUAGAGCAUUUACAUUGACACCCAGCUUGAGAAGAUAGAGGACCGUCUAAUCUCAAGCCAAAGACAAAGUUAGAAUUGGCAAAAGUAUGUAGGUCAAUAUAAAUAUACAGUAUGAUAUAUGAUUAGCUUACAGUGGUGAGUUUUCCGGCAGUGGCGAGAUGCAAGAUGGUAUUGCCAUCACUAUCCGGCGUGUUGAGGAGCUGGGAGAUGUUGAGAGUCUCUGUCAAGUACUUUUGACAGCUUCAUACUGGUUGUUCUUCACUCCCAGGAGUAGAACAGUUCACCGUGUUCGGUUCUCAUCUCUGCUGAUUGGAGACUGAUAGAGAGGAUCUCAUCGAUGAUGUUGACACGCCCUUUCAUGGCCCCCCAGUGGAGAGGUGUUCGACCAUCAUUGUCUGUAAGGAAGUGAGGUCUGGGUCCAACCUCAGAAGCUCCCUUGUGAUCUCAAGGUGACCUUUGCUGCAAGCUAGGUGCAAGGGAGUACAUCCUUGAGAAUCCUUCUUCCAUGAAAAGUCUGGCCUUUCCCUUAUUAUCUUCUUAACUACAUCUGCAAAAUAGGUGGAUUUCUAGUGCUGUCAAUUGCAAUAUCUCCUUAGAUUCACUAUCUCCGACGCCAAUUCCAAGUGUCCAAACCGCGCUGCUAAGUGUAAGACAGUGUUCAGGGAGCCGGAGACGACUUGUUUGAUGAUAUCUUCCUCUUCUUGAGCGAGAGAGAGGAAGGUUGAUACGUCGCCUUUGAGAACUGCCUCGAAGAGGCGUCUGUCCAUAUGGGCUGUGAGCAAAGAAAAUAAUGGCGAAAUCAAUUGGAGUAGCAGGCAAUGGUUUGGUAGGGGAAGAAAUCAAUUGGAGUUGCAUAUGGCUUUUAUGGAACCUUUAUACCAAUGCCCAUAGUUGCAAAAAUUACUCUGCCUCAUAGGGUGUGCCAUAUGUCUUUCAUGGAACCUUCAUGCCAAUGCCCAAUCAAGCUUAGAAGUUCAUUUUCUUUACUGCCCAAAAUUAUAAACCCAAGUUGGUUCAUCUUAGAAUGAUGCUUGUAGAUUUGAAUGCUCCCAACAUGGGACUCUGAGCAGAGGAAGUGUAAAGAACUCUGGUUUGUGACUUUUCAUAUUGUUUUUCCCCCAAAGGCUUCAUAGUUGAGACUGACUGUUGCAGAAUUAUAUGUAGAGUGUUUACAUAGGUUAUUAUUAUAUUUUGGUCAAGUGGCAAUAGCAGUAGAAAUAUGUUCGUUUUACCUUUUCAUUGAAAUGAUGAUCAUGAAUAUGAGCCUUGAUGAAGAGUAAAAGGCUGUAUUCAUGGGAAACGUAUGCUUGUUGGAGCUUGCAGAUGCCCAUCACAUGAUAUGUAAUAAUGUAGGUAUGGAGCGUCUGGUAAAAGCAAAGGCUACAUACUUCAAAAGCAACCGUUCAUCAUCUUUGGGUAUACCUCGAUUGUGCAGAAGCAAUAUAUGUAAAUAAGGUAGGUAUGAAGGCUUACAUUCUUCUAAAAUCUCUUGAAACAAAUCAUGCAUCAGAGAAUGUUUCAAACCUAGUUGACUUCUUCAAUAGACUCCUUCCCACCGUUUUGAUUUUGGUAAGAGUUUUAAUUGUGAAAUUAGUUUUGAAAACAGUUA
rnacentral:lncRNA from 1 species